rfam:Bacilli bacterium VT-13-104 contig040, whole genome shotgun sequence.
AUUGAGUGGGAGUAAAAAGCUAACUUGAUUUGAAGAGAGAACGCCUAUUUAACAGUGUUUAUCUUAAUCUUAAAUUGACAAAUUGGUAUAAAAUAAUAUAGUUCCCUGCCAAAAUCCCUGCCAAAAAUAAUUUGGUAGGGAUAUUUUUU